rnacentral:rRNA from 1 species
AUGAACGCUGGCGGCGUGCUUAACACAUGCAAGUCGAACGAUGACCCGGAGCUUGCUCUGGUGAUUAGUGGCGAACGGGUGAGUAACACGUGAGUAACCUGCCCUUGACUCUGGGAUAAGCACUGGAAACGGUGUCUAAUACCGGAUACGACCUUCAGCCGCAUGGCUAGGGGGUGGAAAGAAUUUCGGUCAAGGAUGGACUCGCGGCCUAUCAGCUAGUUGGUGAGGUAAUGGCUCACCAAGGCGACGACGGGUAGCCG